UAAUAGCUCACUAGUCGAGAGGUCCUGCGCCGAAAAUGUCCGGGGCUGAAACACAACACCGAAGCUUAGGAAUGUCAUAUGACAUUGGUAGAGGAGCAUUCUUAAAGGAGCGAAGCAGUACCGAUAAGGAGCUGUGGACUUUUAAGAAGAGAGAAUGCCGGAAUGAGUAGCGAGAUGGAGGUGGGAAUCCUCCAGGCCGAAUAUCCAAGGUUUCCAGAGUAAAGCUGAUCUGCUCUGGGUAAGUCGGGGCCUAAGGCGAGGCUGAGAGGCGUAGUCGAUGGACAACAGGUUGAAAUUCCUGUACCAUGUAUCAUCAGAACUGUGGGGACACAGAAGGACAACACAUCCCGGGAAUGGGAAUACCGGGGCAAGCGGGGUAGGAGUACGGUUGGCAAAUCCGCCGUGCAAUCCGAAUACGUGACGCGGAGCGAACGAAAGUAGCGAAGUGUGUGAUUCCGGCUGUCAAGAAAAGCCGCUAUAGUGUGAUACAUGCCCGUACCGUAAACCGACACAGGUAGAUGAGGAGAGAAUCCUAAGGCCGGCGGGAGAAGCAUUGUUAAGGAACUCGGCAAAAUGACCCCGUAACUUCGGGAGAAGGGGUGCCACAGAGAUGUGGCCGCAGAGAAUAGGCUCAAGCAACUGUUUAGCAAAAACACAGGUCUAUGCAAAACCGUAAGGUGAGGUAUAUGGGCUGACGCCUGCCCGGUGCUGGAAGGUUAAGAGGAGAGGUUAGAGAAAUCGAAGCUUUGAAUUUAAGCCCCAGUAAACGGCGGCCGUAACUAUAACGGUCCUAAGGUAGCGAAAUUCCUUGUCGGGUAAGUUCCGACCCGCACGAAAGGCGUAAUGAUUUGGGCACUGUCUCAACAAUGCACCCGGUGAAAUUGAAAUACCAGUGAAGAUGCUGGUUACCUGCGCCAGGACGGAAAGACCCCAUGGAGCUUUACUCCAGCUUGAUACUGGGAUUCGAUAUUGCAUGUACAGGAUAGGUGGGAGACUGAGAACUGAUGACGCCAGUUGUCAGGGAGUCACUGUUGGGAUACCACCCUUGUAGUAUUGGAUUUCUAACCAGCAGCCGUGAACCGGCUGGGGGACAAUGUCAGGUGGGGAGUUUGACUGGGGCGGUCGCCUCCGAAAGGGUAUCGGAGGCGCUCAAAGGU
rnacentral:rRNA from 1 species